rnacentral:rRNA from 1 species
UGGGGAAUUUUGGACAAUGGGCGAAAGCCUGAUCCAGCAAUGCCGCGUGUGUGAGGAAGGCCUUCGGGUUGUAAAGCACUUUUGUCCGGAAAGAAAUCCUUGGCUCUAAUACAGUCGGGGGAUGACGGUACCGGAAGAAUAAGCACCGGCUAACUACGUGCCAGCAGCCGCGGUAAUACGUAGGGUGCAAGCGUUAAUCGGAAUUACUGGGCGUAAAGCGUGCGCAGGCGGUUUGCUAAGACCGAUGUGAAAUCCCCGGGCUCAACCUGGGAACUGCAUUGGUGACUGGCAGGCUAGAGUAUGGCAGAGGGGGGUAGAAUUCCACGUGUAGCAGUGAAAUGCGUAGAGAUGUGGAGGAAUACCGAUGGCGAAGGCAGCCCCCUGGGCCAAAUACUGACGCUCAUGCACGAAAGCGUGGGGAGCAAACAGGAUUAGAUACCCUGGUAGUCCACGCCCUAAAACGACGUCAACUAGUUGUUGGGGAUUCAUUUCCUAGUAACGUAGCUAACGCGUGAAGUUGACCGCCUGGGGAGUACGGUCGCAAGAUUAAAACUCAAAUGAAUUGACGGGGUCAUAGCUG